rnacentral:rRNA from 1 species
CGAAGGACCCGAGCGUUAUCCGGAUUUAUUGGGUUUAAAGGGUGCGUAGGCGUCCUGGAAGUUACGGUUGAAAUCUCCUUGCUCAACAAGGAAACUGGCCGUAAACUAUCAGGAUUGAGUACAUUUGAAGCGGGCGGAAUGUGUCAUGUAGCGGUGAAAUGCUUAGAUAUGACACAGAACACCAAUUGCGAAGGCAGCUCGCUAAACUGUAACUGACGCUGAGGCACGAAAGCGUGGGGAUCAAACAGGAUUAGAUACCCUGGUAGUCCACGCCCUAAACGAUGAUUACUCGAUGUGUGCGAUACACUGUACGCGUCUGAGCGAAAGCAUUAAGUAAUCCACCUGGGGAGUACGAUCGCAAGAUUG